rnacentral:rRNA from 1 species
UACGUAGGUGACCAGCGUUGUCCGGAUUUACUGGGCGUAAAGAGCGCGCAGGCGGUCGUUUAAGUCGAGUGUGAAAGCCCCCGGCUCAACUGGGGAGGGUCAUUCGAUACUGAUCGACUUGAAGGCAGGAGAGGGAAGUGGAAUUCCCGGUGUAGUGGUGAAAUGCGUAGAUAUCGGGAGGAACACCAGUGGCGAAGGCGACUUCCUGGCCUGUUCUUGACGCUGAGGCGCGAAAGCUAGGGGAGCAAACGGG